rnacentral:snRNA from 1 species
GGAUGUGAGGGAGAUCUGGCUGCGACAUCGGUCACCCCAUUGAGGUCCUGGGUUGAUUCAGCUGAUCUGGCUGGCUAAGCGGGUGUCCCCUUCCUCCCUCACUGCUCCAUAUGCAUCCCACCUGAAGCUGCAUGCUCCGUCUAAGAGCACGACCUUCCCUGAAUAGAUGAGGACCAGUCUUCAGCCAAGGGCAUACAAGUAGCUGUGCUCCCCUGCUAGAACUUCCAAACAAGCUCUCAAGAAAGUAACAUAUAAUCUUCCUUGUUGUAAAUAUAAUCACAGUUACAGAUGUGUCUUAAGAAGUGUGUAUGCAUGUAUAUACAUGUAUGUGCUU